GAUGAACGCUGGCGGCGUGCCUAAUACAUGCAAGUCGAGCGAACGGACGAGAAGCUUGCUUCUCUGAUGUUAGCGGCGGACGGGUGAGUAACACGUGGAUAACCUACCUAUAAGACUGGGAUAACUUCGGGACACCGGAGCUAAUACCGGAGGAUAUUUUGAACCGCAUGGUUCAAAAGUGAAAGACGGUCUUGCUGUCACUUAUAGAUGGAUCCGCGCUGCAUUAGCUAGUUGGUAAGGUAAUGGCUUACCAAGGCAACGAUGCAUAGCCGACCUGAGAGGCUGAUCGGCCACACUAGAACUGAGACACGGUCCAGACUCCUACGGGAGGCAGCAGUAGGGAAUCUUCCGCAAUGGGCGAAAGCCUGACGGAGCAACGCCGCGUGAGUGAUGAAGGUCUUCGGAGCGUAAAACUCUGUUAUUAGGGAAGAACAUAUGUGUAAGUAACUGUGCACAUCUUGACGGUACCUAAUCAGAAAGCCACGGCUAACUACGUG
rnacentral:rRNA from 1 species